GAUCUGGUAGCUCAGUUGGCAGAGCAUCUCCCUUUUAAGGAGAGGGUCCUGGGUUCGAGCCCCAGCCAGAUCA
rfam:Flavobacteria bacterium BBFL7 scf_1099451317783 genomic scaffold, whole genome shotgun sequence.